CUGGAAACAAAAACUUGCUAUUGGUUUUCAAUCUCCAUCCUGAUUGAAUGGAGAGCCUUCUCAGUGAGUUAAAUAAUCCUUUUCUAAAACCUGUAGCAAACGCGACUGUUUACAAACAUGAUAACUUAGGACAAAUAAAAUAAUAUCUGGAAACAUUAUCAGCAUUGCGUUUAUUUAAAUGAAGUAUAUAGCAAAUCAGAUUGGAUAAUAGUUAAUUGAUUGUACAUAAUACAUAUAGAAAUAUCAUGGUAUAUAGAUAGAUAGAUAUAGACUUCCUCGCUGCCACGGAGCCUGGGAACGGUUUUUACUUUCUUUAGAUUUAGCCUUCCUUGUCCUGGGUAAUUCCUACAAUCUCGAUAAUAUCCAGAAAAUAUGAAUUCCUACAAUCUCGAUAAUAUCCAGAAAAUAUGAAUUCCUACAAUCUCCGUGUCCUGAUAAUCGAUUCCUACAAUCUCCAAUGUCCUGGAUAAUAUCGAUCUCUGAGUAAUAUUGAUUCCUACAAUCUCCAAUGUCCUGAUAAUAUUGAUUCCUAUAAUCUCCAAUGUCUUGAUAAUAUCGAUCUCUGAGUAAUAACGAUUUCUACAAUCUCUGUGUCCUGAUAAUAUUGAUUGCUAUAAUCUCCAAUGUCCUGAUAAUAUCGAUCUCUGAGUAAUAUCGAUUCCUACAAUCUCCAAUGUCCUGAUAAUAUCGAUUCCUACAAUCUCCAAUGUCCUGGAUAAUAUCGAUCUCUGAGUAAUAUCGAUUCCUACAAUCUCUGUGUCCUGAUAAUAUUGAUUCCUAUAAUCUCCAAUGUCUUGAUAAUAUCGAUCUCUGAGUAAUAACGAUUUCUACAAUCUCUGUGUCCUGAUAAUAUUGAUUGCUAUAAUCUCCAAUGUCCUGAUAAUAUCGAUCUCUGAGUAAUAUCGAUUCCUACAAUCUCCAAUGUCCUGAUAAUAUCGAUUCCUACAAUCUCCAAUGUCCUGGAUAAUAUCGAU